rnacentral:rRNA from 1 species
UCAGGACGAACGCUGGCGGCGUGCCUAAUACAUGCAAGUCGUACGCUUCUUUUUCCACCGGAGCUUGCUCCACCGGAAAAAGAAGAGUGGCGAACGGGUGAGUAACACGUGGGUAACCUGCCCAUCAGAAGGGGAUAACACUUGGAAACAGGUGCUAAUACCGUAUAACAAUCGAAACCGCAUGGUUUUGAUUUGAAAGGCGCUUUCGGGUGUCGCUGAUGGAUGGACCCGCGGUGCAUUAGCUAGUUGGUGAGGUAACGGCUCACCAAGGCCACGAUGCAUAGCCGACCUGAGAGGGUGAUCGGCCACAUUGGGACUGAGACACGGCCCAAACUCCUACGGGAGGCAGCAGUAGGGAAUCUUCGGCAAUGGACGAAAGUCUGACCGAGCAACGCCGCGUGAGUGAAGAAGGUUUUCGGAUCGUAAAACUCUGUUGUUAGAGAAGAACAAGUGAUGAGAGU